GAUGAACGCUGGCGGCGUGCCUAAUACAUGCAAGUCGAGCGAACGGACGAGAAGCUUGCUUCUCUGAUGUUAGCGGCGGACGGGUGAGUAACACGUUGAUAACCUACCUAUAAGACUGGGAUAACUUCGUGAAACCGGAGCUAAUACCGGAUAAUAUUUUGAACCGCAUGGUUCAAAAGUGAAAGACGGUCUUGCUGUCACUUAUAGAUGGAUCCGCGCUGCAUUAGCUAGUUGGUAAGGUAACGGCUUACCAAGGCAACGAUGCAUAGCCGACCUGAGAGGGUGAUCGGCCACACUGGAACUGAGACACGGUCCAGACUCCUACGGGAGGCAGCAGUAGGGAAUAUUCCGCAAUGGGCGAAAGCCUGACGGAGCAAAGCCGCGUGAGUGAUGAAGGUCUUCGGAUCGUAAAACUCUGUUAUUAGGGAAGAACAGAUGUGUAAGUAACUGUGCACAUCUUGACGGUACCUAAUCAGAAAGCAACGGCUAACUACGUG
rnacentral:rRNA from 1 species